rnacentral:piRNA from 1 species
UCAGCCAUUGGUUGAUGGAUUGACAAGCC